AGCCCAGCUCUCCAUCAGAAGUCCAAUGCCAUUAACGGCGUAUAUUUAUUUACUAAUUUAUCCCUUUGUUUUAAAAAUCAAAAUUAAAAAAAAAUCGUUCAAUACCCAUUAAUCCACUAAUACCCAAUUCGUACUUUUUUCCUUCAUUCCAGCAAGACAUCGAAGCUAUAGAUCAUCUUCCUCCUUAACUCUGUUUGGGCAUCCGAUGAACAACCAUGUAAGGCCUCCUCCCCUAUCUCUAUUCACUCCCACUUCCUCCUCGCCCAUUUCAACUCCGAAACUCUCGAGUAGCCCCCCUUCUCGACUGCCACCCUCUUUGCUAUCCCUCACCUUCCUACUCUAUUCCAGCCAGACAUCUAAUGCACAACUAUCUCAAGCCAAUUAAGUCCUCCGUCUCCAUACGUUCUCACUUCUUCCUUCUCAUCUAUUUUGGCUCUCACACUCUCAUUUAACCCAUGACUGUUACUCUCUUUCCACUCUGUCUGUCUAUGCAACCAAAGUGGAAGUCAUGCCCUACUGGUGCUUCGAUGUGCUCAAGUCAAGAGCCUUCCACCAAACCCUCAAAUAGGUCAAUGGGAGAGGGGGCUGUGGUUACUUCCACUAGUAUGAUCCGUCUUCAAUUCCAAAGGAUAGGAAUGUUAUCAAUCGACUGUUACAGUGGAACAAAAAGCUUCAGAUCCAAAUUUCAAGUGAUAGAAGAAAGACGAAAUGGACCGUUUUCUUUAUGCUAGCAUGCUGUGUUUAUAUAUGUUUGUAUGUUAAGGCAUCUAUGUUUUAGAUGUUCUUAAUAAGCUGGUUUUGUAUGGAUUUGUAUGUUUGAGCUUCGUCCCACAAAUUGAUGUUAUCUUAUUAGGGUAUUUGAAGGCUAAUUUGUAAUGUUUAAAGAAUUAUGCAAUGAGAACCCAUUCCAUUUGAAAUAAAUAUGCGUUCGUUAGAAUUUUAAAAUAUUAAUU